rnacentral:lncRNA from 10 species
AACUGAUACAGCAUUCAUUCAGCGAAUUUGAGAUGUGAUGUACAAGGGUUCAGGGUGAUGAAAAAUGAAGCUGGAGAGGUUGGUAGAAGCAGCCUCAUAAAAACCUUGUUAAAAGGUUUGAUAUGUAUCCUGACAGCUGUGGAGAGCUAGCAAAGAGAUUUAAGCAGGAAACUUGAUGCAUGUCCUUUGAGGAGCAUCAUUCUGUGUGCAUGUGAAAGACUCCAUUGGAAGGGCAAGCCUGGAGUCCGGGCAUGCAGACAGGAGGCAGAGAUGUCAGAGAUGUAUUCCCCUGCAGCCAGGUAACCAGGCAUGGGGAAGAGUAGGUGGAUUUGUGAAAUAUGGAGGUGGUGACUCUACAGGAUAGCUACAUUUGUUACUGAUUGGAAAUGUUUAUUUAUCCAACCCUCUAAAUUAGACAGUACUGAAAAUGGCCCAGUCGCUGAGGCAUGAUCUAUUAAAGUGUUAUGUUACUGAUAACAGUAAAGAAGCACAAUGUUUCAUUUAAUGCACAGAGAGCCCUGCGAACGAUGCAGGUUCCAGUCAGCGACGUCUUUGCUGAGAUUUAUCUUCACCAAGAUGCACCUUGGGCCCCCAGCAAGGACCUAGGGAGAUGUUCGGCAUUCAGACCCCAAGAAGAAGGGAGGCCCAAGGCUGGGGACUCUGCCAAGUAAAGGAGGCCGAGGAGGCCCUGAGGCUUAUGAUGUCUGAGGGAGUGGGGCAUGAAAGAGGGAUAAGACAGAAGACCUAGGGAUGCUGAAUGGAGCCAGGAGGCAGUGUAUAGAACACCCUUGACAUAAGUGACUCCAUCUUAGAAAAAGACUCCAUCUUACAUUUCAAAAGGUGUCAAGCCAAAAGGGUCCAAAUAUUCACCCAACCAAUAGAGACCACACCCAACCAGAUAAGGGCAUAACCCUUCACUAUCAGUCCUCAUUAGAGGACUCAAAGGCUAUCAAAAGAGCCAGACUUCACUAGCUAGACGUGGCCAUCUCAACAGGCACCUCUUGCUGUCACUUGUGAUCACUCUCCUCGGACUGGUUCAUUAAUCCUUUUUCCUGCACCCUUUUCUCUUGAUGUUAAAUCAAAUUAUGUUGACAAAAAGCUGUACUGGAGAUCACAUUAACUAGCUCUACAAUGUAUUUCAACAGGUGAGUUUUGGAUUUAAAUGAGGCCCAUCAAUGAUUAGCCAUCUGAUGACUGCCAUGCAUGGCCUGUGACACUGUCGUUCAGUGUGUGCUGUGAGAUAACUCUCCAUGGGUUUCUUGGGUUUCCGCACACCUUACAAAUAGAAUCGCUGACUGCUUUUUUAUUCUGAGCUACUUUUCCCAGAAUGUUUCUCUAGUGAACAGCCUUUGAAGAUUGAGAUCGUGUUUUCCUGGAGCAAUGGUCAGUCAUGACUACAGCCCGGGGCCUAAGGUCAAAGUCUCAUCCUGGAAUGCAACCAGUAUGUGUGCUGAUGUUACAUGGUCCUCUUUGUGUCACCCUAGAAGAACUGGAACUCAAGGAACCAGUACAACAAAAGCCGAUUCUCUGGGAACCUCCAGGGCUGCCAGAGUCUUCAGUGAAUCCAUGAUGCAGGGUCCAGGGAGAGUCCACACGACGGCAGUGGCCUGUGGUGCACAGGAUCACUGAUGGCUCUCUGAAGCUCUCCUGGGGUGGAAGGUUACAGAUGGUUCUCAGACAGCUACUGGAGGGCAAGAGUCCUGUCCUUGAAGUCUGUAUCCUCCGUCGUUAGCACAGCGUGUGGAACGAAGGGAGACUGGUGAAUCCAGGUGAAUACAAAUGAAGGAAGACCUGCUUCACCGGAAGAGCAACACGCAAAGCAUCGACACAUCGGCGACAGUUGGGCAAAGAUUUUACAGGAAGCGUGACAUUGGCAUCUGCCUGGUUUCUAGGGAGGCCUCAGGAAGCUUGCAAUCAUGGCGGAAGAUGAAGCGGGAGCAGGCGUGUUACAUGAUGAAAGCAGAAGCAAGUGAGAGACUGGGAGGGAGGCACCACACACUUUUAAAUGACCAGAUCUGGUGAGGUGCUGGGGAUACUAAAAUGAACAGGCAAAAUCCUUUCCCUUCCUCGAGGAACCAACAGUGCAACUGAGGAGAGCUAAGUAAACAGUUCUGAUGGAGGGAGACACAUGCUCUGAUAGAGGUGGUCAGAGGGUGUUGGGGGACCCAAGGGGAGAAGCCAGACUCAGCUUUGGAGACUCGGGGAAGAAUUUCCAAAGCUGCUGGUUUUCUGGACAAGGUCCCAUUAACUCCCAUCCCAAAGGUGGGAUCUUUCUUCUAGUACCUCUCAGCGCCCUGCUUCAUCUCUUAAGCAUCCAAUUCUGACAUGAAAUAGAACAUUGCUGCUAUUGGCUGAAUGUUCGUGACUGCAACAUCUAUACAUUGAAACCCUACACCUUCUGGAGGUGAGGUCUUUGGAAGGUGAUUAGGAUUAGCUGAGGUCAUGUGAGCUGAGCCCCCAUGAAUGGGAUCAGUGCCCUUAUAAGCAUCCUGAGAGAGCUUGCUUCACUCCGCUCUCCACCAUGUGAGGACACUGGGACAGGGCAGCCACCUGCAACUCGGAAAAGGGCCACACAGAACCCACCAUGCAGGUACUCUGGUCUCAGACUUCCAGCCUCCAGAACUGUCAGAAAUGAAUUUGUGCUAUUUAUAAGCCACCCAGGCAAUGGUAAUUUACUAUAGUGCCCAAACUGACUGGGACACUGGCCAUAGAAAACGAUGCUUGCUGUGGUCAGAUCACGGUCCAUGGUCAUCUUAUUGUUAGACGAGGGUUCUCCAACAGGUGCACGUGUUUCCCCAGGGUGUGCAACCUGGAGAGCUGAAUGAAAGUAUUCGAAUUUCCCUGACUGUUCAUGUCUAUCUUUACCUAAGAAUAGAAGUUGGUUAAGCUCUCCUCACACUGGGUGUGCGCCAUUCACUUCCACACUACUGAAAGGUGGCAGGGCGCAUCCCUCCUAACUGGGUGCACCACACAUAAUGCACUGCAGGCUGCAUACGUGUGACCACAGCUUACUGAUUAUCUUAUCCACAUUUAACCUAUCCAAAAUCCAAAAUAAACCAUAGAUCCAAGAAAAUUCUCAUCAUACGAGCUCAAGAGAACAAGAAAGUGAAGGUGCUAACACGUCUAACAGCAGCCACAUUUGCAGGAGAAAAUAAUUAUUUCAUUUUGCUGUUACCCUCUAUACAUUUCUUUUUUUAUUUGUAUAUUUUUGUGUUUUUUGAGAUGGAGCUUCACUCUUGUCACCCAGGCUGGAGCGCAAUGGUGUGAUCACGGCUCACUGCAACUUCUGCCUCCUGAGUUCAAGCGAUUCUCCUGUCUCAGCCUCCCUAGUAGCUGGGAUUACAGGCAUGCACCACCACACCUGGCUAAUUUUGUAUUUUUAGUAGAGAUGGGGCUUCACCAUGUUGGCCAGGCUGGUCUCAAACUCCUGACUUCAGGUGAUCCACCUGCCUCGCCCUCCCGAAGUGCUGGAAGCACAGGCAUGAGCCACCGUGCCAGGCCUAUUUGUAUAAAUUUAUGGGGUACAAGUGUAAUUUCGUUACAUGCAUAGAUAGCAUAGUCUUGAAGUCAGGGCUUUUAGCGUAUUCAUCAGCCAAGUAAUGUACAUUGUACCCAGAAAGUAAUUUCUCAUCAUCCAUUUCCCUCCACCCCUCACCCUUCUGAGUCUCCAAAGCCUAUCAUUCCACACUCUAUAUCCAGGUGCACUCAUUAUUUAGCUCCCACUUGUAAGAGACAUGUGGUGUUUGACUUUCUGUUUCUGAGUUAUUUCACUUAUAUAAUGGCCUCCAGUUCCAACCCUGUGGCUGCAAAAGACACAACUUCAUUCUUUUUUAUAGCUGAAUAGUAUUCCAUGGUGUAUGUAUACCAUAUUUGCUUAUCUAGUCAUCCAUUGGUGAAUACUUUGAUUCCAUAUCUUUGCCAUUCUGAAUAGUGCUGCGAUAACGAUAAGCAUACAAGUUAUGGUAGCUUUCUGACAUACCGACUUCUUUUCCCUUGGGUAGUGCAUGCACCCACCACAGGGGGACCUUUGUACAAGAUUGCUCAGUCCAGCUCUGCCUAGGUUUGCCCCCCCACCUCCAAGACACAGCAUAGGAUCCGGGCUCCUGGGGGUCCCAUGUCCCACAACCUUUAUACAUUUCUAUUCUAUUUAAAAUGCAGAGUGUACAAAACAUGCCUGUACAAGAGAAUAUUCACAAAUGUAUAAAUAAAUACAUAAAUUCACAAAAUGCUUAGAAAUAUUUCAGUAGUGUUUUUUUUCAUUUAAAAAUGCAUCUAGAUCAUGGAUUUAGAUUGCAAGGCUCCACCUUAAGGGAGGCAGCUCGUCCAUGUCAGGCAGCUCCUCUCGUCCUGUCCAGCUGGCUUUUGCUCACUUCUCUUCGACACCAGACCUCUGGCAUGUCCAUAUUCUGACUGCAGCCACACUCGCAAUGGAACAAGGGGACAAAAACAAUGUUUACUUAAGUACAUUGUGAAAGUCCAGAGGAACGCUUCUGUUUUCUGGCUGAAAUCUCACACGGGAAUAAAAGCGACAGAAAACUCUACCCUUUCCUGCACGUGGCCAGCCCCUGUGGACCCUGGUGACAGGCACUCUGCUCACCUUCUGCCUGGAAGUUUUGCCAAGCCCAUGAUGGUUUUAUGAAAUCCUUUCUUUGAUUUGGCUCCUGGCAGUUUGCAGUUUGAAGUCGUACCUUGUCCUGGAUGGAAACCAUGUGAAACUAUCACAUUCUAUAUUGUUCCCAUUCUAGACUAUGAAUUCACUGGGCUUCAUCCAACCCAAACCUCAGCACUGAUUUCCUCAAUGUUUGGCCCACAUUUAUAAACCUCAAAGAACCUCCCAGCAAACCUGGCUUGAAUCUAAAGUCUCUUUACCCGCAUUUACACAGGCCUGCUUUCAAACCGGUAAGCCUGCAAUAGACUGCCCUAAAACUCCAUAGCUUCCUUCCAGCCAUGUUAUAUAUAACUUCAGUAUAAUUUGUUUAAAAAAAGCACAAGAAAGAUUAUUUGGAGAUUCAAAUUGAGUACACUUAAUAGAACUAUAAUGAUUCUGGCAAUCAUUUUCGAAGCUGCAAUAACUAAUCAUUGUAGAUCUAACUAUAUAUCCUGGCAGACACAUGGAGAAUAUUAGCAGAAAUCUUCCCACAAGGCUGCUUUUAGAGCUUAGCACUGCAAUUUGCUGAACAUUCUCCAUCAC